rnacentral:tRNA from 1 species
GUCCCUAUCGUCUAGAGGCCUAGGACACAACCCUUUCACGGUUGGUACCGGGGUUCGAAUCCCCGUAGGGACGCCA